AGCGAACGCUGGCGGCGUGCUUAACACAUGCAAGUCGAACGUGAAAUGUAGCAAUACAGAGUAAAGUGGCGUACGGGUGAGUAACACGUGGGUAAUCUACCGAAGAGCCCGGAAUAACCGGCCGAAAGGCUGGCUAAUACUGGAUAGUUCAAGCCUGUUGUAAUGGCAGGAUUGGGAAAGGGAGCGAGUAAUCGCCUUCACUUUUUGAUGAGCCCGCGUCUGAUUAGCUAGUUGGUAGGGUAAUGGCCUACCAAGGCGAAGAUCAGUAGCUGGUCUGAGAGGAUGAUCAGCCACACUGGAACUGAAACACGGUCCAGACUCCUACGGGAGGCAGCAGUGGGGAAUCUUGCGCAAUGGACGAAAGUCUGACGCAGCCACGCCGCGUGAGUGAAGAAGGCCUUCGGGUUGUAAAGCUCUGUCGGAGGGGACAAAAACCAUCUAGGUUAAUAGCCUAGGUGCUUGAUGGUACCCUUAAAGGAAGCACCGGCUAACUUCGUGCCAGCAGCCGCAGUAA
rnacentral:rRNA from 1 species